AGGACGAACGCUGGCGGCGUGCUUAACACAUGCAAGUCGAGCGAGGCGCCUCCUUCGGGAGGAUGCCCUAGCGGCGAACGGGUGAGUAACACGUGGGCAACCUGCCCCUAGCACUGGGAUAACCCCGGGAAACCGGGCUAAUACCGGAUACGACUUCGGAAGGCAUCUUCUGAAGUGGAAAAGGUUACUGGCUAGGGAUGGGCCCGCGGCCUAUCAGCUUGUUGGUGGGGUAAUGGCCCACAAGGCGACGACGGGUAG
rnacentral:rRNA from 1 species